CCUACGGGGGGCAGCAGUGAGGAAUAUUGGUCAAUGGACGAGAGUCUGAACCAGCCAAGUAGCGUGAAGGAUGACUGCCCUAUGGGUUGUAAACUUCUUUUAUAUGGGAAUAAAAUGUUCCACGUGUGGGAUUUUGUAUGUACCAUAUGAAUAAGGAUCGGCUAACUCCGUGCCAGCAGCCGCGGUAAUACGGAGGAUCCGAGCGUUAUCCGGAUUUAUUGGGUUUAAAGGGAGCGUAGGUUGAUUGUUAAGUCAGUUGUGAAAGUUUGCGGCUCAACCGUAAAAUUGCAGUUGAAACUGGCAGUCUUGAGUACAGUAGAGGUGGGCGGAAUUCGUGGUGUAGCGGUGAAAUGCUUAGAUAUCACGAAGAACUCCGAUUGCGAAGGCAGUUCACUGGACUGCAACUGACACUGAGGCUCGAAAGUGUGGGUAUCAAACAGGAUUAGAUACCCCAGUAGUC
rnacentral:rRNA from 1 species